UACACGACCGUACCGCAAACCGACACUGGUGCGCGAGAUGAGUAUUCUAAGGCGCUUGAGAGAACUCGGGAGAAGGAACUCGGCAAAUUGACACCGUAACUUCGGAAGAAGGUGUGCCUUUAGUAGGUGAAGGGAUUUACUCCUGGAGCCCAAUGAGGUUGCAAAAAAUCGGUGGCUGCGACUGUUUAUUAAAAACACAGCACUCUGCAAACACGAAAGUGGACGUAUAGGGUGUGACGCCUGCCCGGUGCUGGAAGAUUAAAUGAUGGGGUGCAAGCUCUUGAUUGAAGUCCCAGUAAACGGCGGCCGUAACUAUAACGGUCCUAAGGUAGCGAAAUUCCUUGUCGGGUAAGUUCCGACCUGCACGAAUGGCGUAACGAUGGCCACACUGUCUCCUCCCGAGACUCAGCGAAGUUGAAAUGUUUGUGAUGAUGCAAUCUCCCCGCGGAAAGACGGAAAGACCCCAUGAACCUUUACUGUAGCUUUGUAUUGGACUUUGAACAGAUCUGUGUAGGAUAGGUGGGAGGCUUUGAAGUAGGGUCGCUAGAUCUUAUGGAGCCAACGUUGAAAUACCACCCUGGUGUGUUUGAGGUUCUAACCUAGGUCCAUUAUCUGGAUCGGGGACAGUGCAUGGUAGGCAGUUUGACUGGGGCGGUCUCCUCCCAAAGCGUAACGGAGGAGUUCGAAGGUACGCUAGUUACGGUCGGACAUCGUGACGAUAGUGCAAUGGCAUAAGCGUGCUUAACUGCGAGACUGACAAGUCGAGCAGAUGCGAAAGCAGGACAUAGUGAUCCGGUGGUUCUGUAUGGAAGGGCCAUCGCUCAACGGAUAAAAGGUACUCUGGGGAUAACAGGCUGAUACCGCCCAAGAGUUCAUAUCGACGGCGGUGUUUGGCACCUCGAUGUCGGCUCAUCUCAUCCUGGGGCUGUAGCCGGUCCCAAGGGUAUGGCUGUUCGCCAUUUAAAGAGGUACGUGAGCUGGGUUUAAAACGUCGUGAGACAGUUUGGUCCCUAUCUUCCGUGGGCGCUGCAGAUUUGAGGAAGCCUGCUCCUAGUACGAGAGGACCGGAGUGGACACACCUCUGGUGUAUCGGUUGUCACGCCAGUGGCAUUGCCGAGUAGCUAAGUGUGGAAGAGAUAACCGCUGAAAGCAUCUAAGCGGGAAACUCGUUUCAAGAUGAGAUCUGCCGGGGCCUUGAGCCCCCUAAAGAGUCGUUCAAGACCAGGACGUUGAUAGGUCAGGUGUGGAAGCGCAGUAAUGCGUUAAGCUAACUGAUACUAAUUGCUCGUGCGGCUUGACCAU
rnacentral:rRNA from 1 species